GCCAGGCAUGGUGGUGCACGCCUGUAAUCCCAGCUACUUGGGAGGCUGAGGCAGGAGAAUUGCUUGAACCCAGGAGGCAGAGUUUGCAGUGAGCCAUGAUUGUGCCACUAUACUCCAGCCUGGGUGACAGAGCAAGACUCUGUCUCAA
rnacentral:SRP_RNA from 1 species